rnacentral:rRNA from 1 species
UACGAGAGGCCCAAACGUUAUUCGGAAUUAUUGGGCGUAAAGAGCGUGUAGGCGGCCUGAAAGGUCAGCUGUGAAAACUCGAGGCUCAACCUCGAGACGUCGGUUGAAACCAUCUGGCUAGAGUCCGGAAGAGAAGAGUGGAAUUCCCGGUGUAGCGGUGAAAUGCGCAGAUAUCAGGAAGAACACCCGUGGCGAAGGCGGCUCCUCGUGGGACGGUACUGACGCUGAGACGCGAAAGCGUGGGGAGCGAACAGG